rnacentral:rRNA from 1 species
UACGGAGGGUGCAAGCGUUAUCCGGAUUCACUGGGUUUAAAGGGUGCGUAGGCGGGCAUUUAAGUCAGUGGUGAAAUACCUGAGCUUAACUUGGGAACUGCCAUUGAUACUAUUUGUCUUGAAUGUCGUGGAGGUUAGCGGAAUAUGUCAUGUAGCGGUGAAAUGCUUAGAUAUGACAUAGAACACCUAUUGCGAAGGCAGCUUGCUGGCAUGUUUCUGACGCUAAGGCACGAAAGCGUGGGGGAGCGAACAGG